rnacentral:misc_RNA from 1 species
UUUCUUCAGGCCAUGUUAGA